UGCGGAUGUCCUCCCUGUCUCAAGUUCUCUCUUGGGACCUACAGACACAGGUGACCUGGGCACUGUCCCGGCCUCAAGGAGCUCCAGGCUCACAGGUUCUUGAACCAAAAUGGAAUGAAGCCCUUGAACUUGAUUUCUUCUCGUCGUUCCUGCUACACUGCUGCAACGGAAGGAACAGGGAAAUUCUGCACCAUUUCUGAAAGCCGCCAAGAGAUCUCAGCCAUUCCUCUGAAACCUCUGAGAGUUUUAACAAAAUUGGAAGUGGAGAGUGCUGGUAGAGCUGAAGCUAAUUUAAAUUUAUGAACCCUGAUGGCUCAUUGCCCUUUGUCACUUUCGGGAA